CAGGCCAGUUCAGUCAGGGCAGGGGUCUCUCCUAGCUCAAGUUCGAUGGAAUAGCUGGAUCCGUGACCGUGCAACCACCUCAACCGCAUUUCAGGGGCAAGGUCUUCAUCCCGAAUCCUCGGCCUCGUCUCCCAUCUCGUGCCCUACAUAAAAUCCAGACGCCCCGCUUUACCCCGUUCACGACGGCUCCGCGCUUGGGGCUGUUGAAGCCGCCUCCAGUGUUGGGCGAGGUGCCGGAUGUGCGUUGGUCAGUCUGCGGCCGCCACUGUCUCCACACUGGUGUCGUGCUUGGUUUGGUGACAUUGAAGAUUAUCUCUGGGGCACGACGAUGUCGUUCAUCGCUGCUGCAGCUUGGUUGCCUCCGAUGGCUGCUUGUCAAGCGCCGGGGCCUCACGCCUCGGGACAACUUGCGCGUCGUCAUCAUCCAACUCCAUUCCCGUCGCAGUCACGGUCAAGAACAGGUACCACAGGAUGAGGGGCAUGGAGGUGGCUGCGAUGUGUUCGUGAGAGGUCUAGGUCGUCGUCUCCCAGUCAACUUUGGGUUGCUGGAUCGUUGUCUCCUUACGAUGUAUUUAUUUAUUUUAUAUAGAACUCCUUUUAUAUAGUAAAGUUGUGACAUUCGUUUCUGUACUAUGAUUCAUGAUAUGCGUGAGACUUUUGGUUUCAGCA